rnacentral:rRNA from 1 species
UACGUAGGGGGCAAGCGUUUGUCCGGAUUUAUUGGGCGUAAAGAGCUCGUAGGCGGUUUGUUGCGUCGGCUGUGAAAUCCCGAGGCUCAACCUCGGGUCUGCAGUCGAUACGAGCAAACUAGAGUGUUGCAGGGGAGACUGGAAUUCCUGGUGUAGCGGUGAAAUGCGCAGAUAUCAGGAGGAACACCGAUGGCGAAGGCAGCUCGCUGGGACGGUACUGACGCUGAGACGCGAAAGCGUGGGGAGCAAACAGG